rnacentral:lncRNA from 1 species
ACUCACCACUGCAGCUCACCAGAAUGGUCGCCCACAUGUCGGCUUGCGCCUAGUGGCGGCCGGAGAAUUUCGCCUCCAAUACAAUGCCCAUGGACUCGCAGUGUCACGUCGCAGAAUCUUGCAUCAGCUGCCACAGCCAUCGUAAAACUGAGGCGUGACACUUUAUUUUCUCAUAGUAGAUAGGACCUACUCCCUCCGUAAAGCCAAAACGAUAGGGAGUAGUAUCUUUUGACCUUUUCUGGAUGCUUGUUUUAGGGGGAUCAUGCCUGGAUUUAGCUUAUUCUAAGCUAUAAUCCUCACCAAUCUCUCACCAAAACAAAGCACUCCCUCCCUUGCCGGCCGGCUACGCGGUGAGGAACAGAAAGGCCACCAGAGGCACGGCAACGAAGAGAAGCAACAGUGUGAAGCCCAGAACAACGGACCGCCAGAACGCCCCUCUGGAGAAGGGCGCGGCCGGCGGCAGGGUGACGUGGAGGGCGACGGGGAGGAUGACACCGACGACGAAGAGGUAGGCCGUCGGGAGAGUCAGGAGGACCGCCGCGACCGCCAUGUCGAGGACGGGGCCGCGCGCGGCGGCCCUGUCCAGGAAGUCCAGCACCGGCUUCAGGACCUCGCGGCAGCCGAGGGCGAUGUACAGGGCCGCCAUUGCCACCUCCGGGAGGUCCGCCGCCAUGUUUGCACGGGAGGGGAUGGAGCCAGUUGCUGUCAGCUGUGAGCAGGCAGCUAGCAGCAGUGGGAGGAGAGCAAAUGAUUGGGAGGUAAUGAUCGGUUACAAGAGCCUAGCUCUGCUUAAAUAGAAUUAGCCGAUGGAGACAUGAGGCGAUUGUGUGCUUAAGUAGAAUUAUCUGAUGGAGACGGGUGUGAGUGGUGCUCCAAAUGGCAGGUGUUUCUUUGGUAAACCUGAGGAAGUGCUCACGAUUCCGAAUGAUCUUUGGGUACUCUCCUGCAAAAUAUCAACUAAACUUCUUGAUUUUUCUUUGUAAAAUAUAUGUACCACCUUGCGAGAGCAGAGUUUGAUGAUCUGCAAUAAGCAAAUACUAAAUUGUAACAGUGUAGAACUGCAUUAACGUUGGCACAGCCCCAAAGUUUCAGAGCUGCAUGGAUUCCAGCAGCUGGUACUGACGUGUCGUGCUCCUCCAUCCAGGCGGUUAGCAUUCUGUGCUCUUCCCUUGAUCUUCAGUAAAGUUGUUGUGCUUCGAUUGCAAUCCAGUACAGGAGAUUUUAUCAUCAGUCAAAAAGAUUACUAGGCUGAUGCCCUCGCCAAAACAGAAAGGGUGAUUAUAUACCAAAGUUACGAACCAGAACAAAUGACGAGGGGCAAAAGAAGAACUAAAAAUUGCAAUUCAAUGGUGUUACCUUAAUUCUUACAAGAGCGUUGAAUUGUACAAACGUGGUUAUACUUGCACACUGAAGAAACGAAUUCUCAGUAAAUACAUCAGGGUAGGGACUAGGGAGAGUAAAAGAAUGCCAAUCUGACAAAGGUUUGCCUAUAUGCUACAGAUGAACAUGAGAAUAUGUACCAAGUGUUUCUAUCUCCUUACUUUUUUGAAACGGAAAGGGCACGAGAGUGUGCCUAUUUCAUUGAUAUAGAGGAGAUACAACCGUCGGAGCGGUCAAGGGAUUAAAAGAAAAGGAGAAAGGAAAAUGAAGGGGGGAAAACAAAAAAAGCGGCGCUUGGAGUCGUAACGUUGUGAUUACGG